UACGUAGGGUGCAAGCGUUGUCCGGAAUUAUUGGGCGUAAAGAGCUCGUAGGCGGUUUGUCGCGUCUGCUGUGAAAACUCGGGGCUUAACUCCGGGCCUGCAGUGGGUACGGGCAGACUAGAGUGCGGUAGGGGAGACUGGAAUUCCUGGUGUAGCGGUGAAAUGCGCAGAUAUCAGGAGGAACACCGGUGGCGAAGGCGGGUCUCUGGGCCGUAACUGACGCUGAGACGCGAAAGCGUGGGGAGCAAACAGG
rnacentral:rRNA from 1 species